AUACGGAGGGGGUUAGCGUUGUUCGGAAUUACUGGGCGUAAAGCGCACGUAGGCGGACUGAUCAGUUAGAGGUGAAAUCCCAGGGCUCAACCCUGGAACUGCCUUUAAUACUGUCAGUCUAGAGAUCGAGAGAGGUGAGUGGAAUUCCAAGUGUAGAGGUGAAAUUCGUAGAUAUUUGGAGGAACACCAGUGGCGAAGGCGGCUCACUGGCUCGAUACUGACGCUGAGGUGCGAAAGCGUGGGGAGCAAACAGGAUUAGAAACCCCGGUAGUCC
rnacentral:rRNA from 1 species